rnacentral:rRNA from 1 species
UACGUAGGUGGCAAGCGUUGUCCGGAUUUAUUGGGCGUAAAGCGAGUGCAGGCGGUUCAAUAAGUCUGAUGUGAAAGCCCUCGGCUUAACCGGAGAAUUGCAUCAGAAACUGUUGAACUUGAGUGCAGAAGAGGAGAGUGGAACUCCAUGUGUAGCGGUGGAAUGCGUAGAUAUAUGGAAGAACACCAGUGGCGAAGGCGGCUCUCUGGUCUGCAACUGACGCUGAGGCUCGAAAGCAUGGGUAGCGAACAGG